rnacentral:rRNA from 1 species
GACGAACGCUGGCGGCGUGCUUAACACAUGCAAGUCGAACGGAAAGGCCCUGCUUUUGUGGGGUGCUCGUGUGGCGAAGGGGUGAGUAACACGUGAGUAACCUGCCCUUGACUUUGGGAUAACUUCAGGAAAGUGGGGCUAAUACCGGAUAGGAUCUCCUGCUGCAGGGUGGGGGGUGGAAAGUUUCGGCGGUUGGGGAUGGACUCGCGGCAUAUCAGCUUGUUGGUGGGGUAGUGGCUUACCAAGGCUUUGACGGGUAGCCGGCCUGAGAGGGUGACCGGCCACACUGGGACUGAGACACGGCCCAGACUCCUACGGGAGGCAGCAGUGGGGAAUAUUGCACAAUGGGCGGAAGCCUGAUGCAGCAACGCCGCGUGAGGGAUGACGGCCUUCGGGUUGUAAACCGCUUUCGCCUGUGACGAAGCGUGAGUGACGGUAAUGGGUAAAGAAGCACCGGCUAACUACGUG